rnacentral:rRNA from 1 species
CCCUUAGAUGUUCUGGGCCGCACGCGCGCUACACUGUUCGACGCAGCGAGUCUUAACCUUGACCGAAAGGUUUGGGUAAUCUUCAGCAAAGUCGAACGUGAUGGGGAUCGAUCAUUGCAAUUAUUGAUCGUGAACGAGAAAUUCCUAGUAAGUGCAAGUCAUCAGCUUGCGCUGAUUACGUCCCUGCCCUUUGUACACACCGCCCGUCGCUACUACCGAUUGAAUGGUUUAGUGAGAUCUCUGGAUUGACGCUGGCUAGGGGGCGACCCUUGGCCAGACUGUUGAGAAACUGCUCAAACUUGAUCAUUUAGAGGAAGUAAAAGUCGUAACA